rnacentral:rRNA from 1 species
UACGAACCGUCCUAACGUUAUUCGGAAUCACUGGGCUUAAAGGGUGCGUAGGCGGCUCAGUAAGUUGGGUGUGAAAUCCCUCGGCUCAACCGAGGAAUGGCGCUCAAGACUGCUGGGCUGGAGGGAGACAGAGGUGAGCGGAACUUAGGGUGGAGCGGUGAAAUGCGUUGAUAUCCUAAGGAACACCGGUGGCGAAAGCGGCUCACUGGGUCUUUUCUGACGCUGAGGCACGAAAGCUAGGGGAG